GACGAACGCUUGCGGCGUGCUUAACACAUGCAAGUCGAACGGAAAGGCCCUGCUUGCAGGGUACUCGAGUGGCGAACGGGUGAGUAACACGUGGGUGAUCUGCCCUGCACUUCGGGAUAAGCCUGGGAAACUGGGUCUAAUACCGGAUAGGAGCCAUUUUUAGUGUGAUGGUUGGAAAGUUUUUUCGGUGUAGGAUGAGCUCGCGGCCUAUCAGCUUGUUGGUGGGGUAAUGGCCUACCAAGGCGGCGACGGGUAGCCGGCCUGAGAGGGUGGACGGCCACAUUGGGACUGAGAUACGGCCCAGACUCCUACGGGAGGCAGCAGUGGGGAAUAUUGCACAAUGGGCGCAAGCCUGAUGCAGCGACGCCGCGUGGGGGAUGACGGCCUUCGGGUUGUAAACUCCUUUCGCUAGGGACGAAGCUUUUGUGACGGUACCUAGAUAAGAAGCACCGGCUAACUACGUGCCAGCAGCCGCGGUAAUACGUAGGGUGCGAGCGUUGUCCGGAAUUACUGGGCGUAAAGGGCUCGUAGGUGGUUUGUCGCGUCGUCUGUGAAAUUCCGGGGCUUAACUCCGGGCGUGCAGGCGAUACGGGCAUAACUUGAGUACUGUAGGGGUAACUGGAAUUCCUGGUGUAGCGGUGAAAUGCGCAGAUAUCAGGAGGAACACCGAUGGCGAAGGCAGGUUACUGGGCAGUUACUGACGCUGAGGAGCGAAAGCAUGGGUAGCGAACAGGAUUAGAUACCCUGGUAGUCCAUGCCGUAAACGGUGGGCGCUAGGUGUGAGGGUCUUUUCACGACUUUCGUGCCGUAGCUAACGCAUUAAGCGCCCCGCCUGGGGAGUACGGCCGCAAGGCUAAAACUCAAAGGAAUUGACGGCGGCCCGCACAAGCGGCGGAGCAUGUGGAUUAAUUCGAUGCAACGCGAAGAACCUUACCUGGGCUUGACAUACACCGGAUCGGGCUAGAGAUAGUCCUUCCCUUUGUGGCUGGUGUACAGGUGGUGCAUGGUUGUCCUCAGCUCGUGUCGUGAGAUGUUGGGUUAAGUCCCGCAACGAGCCGCAACCCUUGUCUUUAUGUUGCCAGCAUUUGGUUGGGGACUCAUGAGAGACUGCCGGGGUCAACUCGGAGGAAGGUGGGGAUGACGCUUAAUCAUCCUGCCCCUUAUGUCCAGAGCUUCCCACAUGUUACAAUGGUUCGUUCACCCUCCAGUGACUUUUGUGUCGUGUAGCGAAUCCCUGAACGCCCGCUUUAUUUUGCAUUGGGGUCCUUCAUUCGACCCUCUGAAAUUCGGAUUCCUUACUUAUUCCUUAAUUUGAUCCCUGCGGGGUUAUACGUUCCUGGCCCU
rnacentral:rRNA from 1 species